rnacentral:rRNA from 1 species
CUUGGGAACUUGCCUUUGCGAGGGGGAUAACAGUUGGAAACGACUGCUAAUACCGCAUAAUGUCUUCGGACCAAACGGGGCUUMGGCUCCGGCGCAAAGAGAGGCCCAAGUGAGAUUAGCUAGUUGGUGAGGKAAAGGCUCACCAAGGCAACGAUCUCUAGCUGUUCUGAGAGGAAGAUCAGCCACACUGGGACUGAGACACGGCCCAGACUCCUACGGGAGGCAGCAGUGGGGAAUAUUGCACAAUGGGGGAAACCCUGAUGCAGCCAUGCCGCGUGUGUGAAGAAGGCCUUCGGGUUGUAAAGCACUUUCAGUUGUGAGGAAAAGUUAGUAGUUAAUACCUGCUAGCCGUGACGUUAACAACAGAAGAAGCACCGGCUAACUCCGUGCCAGCAGCCGCGGUAAUACGGAGGGUGCGAGCGUUAAUCGGAAUUACUGGGCGUAAAGCGCACGCAGGCGGUUUGUUAAGCUAGAUGUGAAAGCCCCGGGCUCAACCUGGGACGGUCAUUUAGAACUGGCAGACUAGAGUCUUGGAGAGGGGAGUGGAAUUCCAGGUGUAGCGGUGAAAUGCGUAGAUAUCUGGAGGAACAUCAGUGGCGAAGGCGACUCCCUGGCCAAAGACUGACGCUCAUGU